rnacentral:rRNA from 1 species
AACGUAGGACACAAGCGUUAUCCGGAGUUACUGGGCGUAAAGGGCGUGUAGGCGGAGAUGUAAGUCUAUUCUGAAAGCUCCUGGCUAAACUGGGAGAGGCGAAUGGAGACUGCAUAUCUAGAGUGAGGAAGAGGAAAGUGGAAUUCCGCGUGUAGUGGUGAAAUGCGUAGAGAUGGCGAGGAACACCCAGGGUACGGCGAAGCGGACUUCGU